CGGAUCGGCUCCAAUGGUCGCAUGUCCAGGUCGCCUUCUCAUGCUCGAUCUCCCUUCCAUAGCUUCUGAAAGUCGGUGUUUCCACUCGCCCGUCCCCUCCUCCAUAAUGUUUCUACGCUUGCGUCCUGGCCGGAAUUUGAUCUCCGGUUUGAUUGCCAGGUCCUCCGAGACAUCGCUUGCAAUAUAAUUUUUUUUUCCUUGCACCAGAAGUGUGACUGCAUGUCAGGAACUGUAUGAUACGCAGGUCAGAUGUGAACUGCAGGCAGCUCAAAUUUCCCAUUUUUUCGAGAAUUUUUUUCCCGUGGUGCACAAACAUUAGUUUGAUUUUUUUAGAUUUUGUUCGUUCUCCUCAAGGGAGAUUUCUCUACUAUCUCCUUUCACCCAGUAUGCUCUAGGAAUCCUGGUUCGUUUCUUGAUUAUCCAAUAGACUUUGGCUAAACGACUUUGAAAAAAUUAUGAUCUGAUGAGGGUCCAUUUGCGUUGUUCCAAUCAGUUUUUCUACAUCAGGUGAACUGAUUGGAGAUCUCAUUGUGUUAUCCGCAUGACCUCCACAUCGGGAUUAACUCGAGCGAUGGAGGAUUGAGGCGGCAACAUCACCAACCAUUAUUGUCUCCCAUCCAAGUUGAUGCAGUUCUCCUACUUCCUUCGAUUCAUAUUACAUGACAGUAAUAUAGAUGUAUCUAGACAUAUUUUAAUUGUAGGUAUAUCCAUUUUAAUGCAAGUAAUAUGGAUCGGUGCGAGUACUUUUUCGUUGUCCCGGUCCCGCCCCAAGAAGAUGUGCUAGCUUGAUGAUUUUAGGUGAUUCCGUUGGCAAUCUUCAAUUAGUUUCAGUAAUUAUACCCGGUUCUUGGAUUAUCCAAUCAAUAUAGCCACUACGACAGGUUUAUGGCAGGGAUGGAGAAGUUAUUUAUUUUUGAUUCUUAAUCGCUUAUUUCCACGGAAACAAGCUGGAGGUGGAUGAGAACUUCAUCACACGCACAUG